UACAGAGGUCUCAAGCGUUGUUCGGAUUCAUUGGGCGUAAAGGGUGUGUAGGUGGCGCCGUAAGUCGGGUGUGAAAUUUCGGAGCUUAACUCCGAAACUGCAUUCGAUACUGCGGUGCUUGAGGACUGGAGAGGAGACUGGAAUUCAUGGUGUAGCAGUGAAAUGCGUAGAGAUCAUGAGGAACACCCGUGGCGAAAGCGGCUCUCUGGAACGGUACUGACGCUGAGACGCGAAAGCGUGGGGAGCGAACAGG
rnacentral:rRNA from 1 species